GACGAACGCUGGCGGCGUGCUUAACACAUGCAAGUCGAACGGAAAGGCCUCUUUCGGGGGGUACUCGAGUGGCGAACGGGUGAGUAACACGUGAGUAACCUGCCCUUGACUUUGGGAUAACUUCAGGAAACUGGGCUAAUACCGGAUAGGAGCUCCUGCUGCAUGGUGGGGGUUGGAAAGUUUCGGCGGUUGGGGAUGGACUCGCGGCUUAUCAGCUUGUUGGUGGGGUAGUGGCUUACCAAGGCUUUGACGGGUAGCCGGCCUGAGAGGGUGACCGGCCACAUUGGGACUGAGAUACGGCCCAGACUCCUACGGGAGGCAGCAGUGGGGAAUAUUGCACAAUGGGUGGAAGCCUGAUGCAGCAACGCCGUGUGCGGGAUGACGGCCUUCGGGUUGGAAACCGCUUUCGCUCAUGACGAAGCUUUGUGUGACGGUAGUGGGUAAAGAAGCACCGGCUAACUACGUG
rnacentral:rRNA from 1 species